rnacentral:rRNA from 1 species
UACGUAGGGUGCGAGCGUUGUCCGGAAUUAUUGGGCGUAAAGGGCUCGUAGGCGGUUUGUCGCGUCGGGAGUGAAAUCCACUGGCUUAACUGGUGGCUUGCUUUCGAUACGGGCAGACUGGAGGUAUGCAGGGGAGAACGGAAUUCCUGGUGUAGCGGUGAAAUGCGCAGAUAUCAGGAGGAACACCGGUGGCGAAGGCGGUCUCUGGGCAUGUCCUGACGCUGAGGAGCGAAAGUGUGGGGAGCGAACAGG